AGUGAGGGAGUAGGAGAAGCAUGGGGCACAUCUGGUCCUCGGAAAAGGUGGGAGGCCAGGGCCGAGGCGACUCACCCAGGUUACCAGCGGGCUGUGGAGGAAGAGCUCCAUGAGUUCGGAAAUGGUCACAUCCAUGGGGAUCGGGGCCCUUGAGGAGAGACCCGAUCCGGUCCUGAGAGAACGGACCUUGGCGGAGCCAAAAGGAAAAUACGAGCCGCAAUACAACCUGAAGCCGAAAUGAAGAAGGUCCGCCAAAGUUGAAGGAAAAUCCGCCAAGGAGUCUUUAUUGAGCAAUUCAGCUGAAGAGGACUCUGGUAGCGAUCAUUCGACUUACCAGCAGUCCCAUACAAUCAAAAUAAAGCCAUACUUAUACAAAA